CUGGAAUGGGGGGGGUCCCCGAAUUCCGAAAGCUGAUGAUCAAUCAAGCCACAGGAGAAGCAAAGUAAGAAAGGAUCUCCCUUGUUCUUGGACCUAAUUAUGACCACCCAGGGAUGAAAGUGAAUGGAUCACAGGAAGCCAAGAAUGCUCUCAGUUUGGAUGGAACAAUGCAGGGCACGGCCCGAAACAGAGCUGGAUCACUGAACACUGGAUUCUUCACCCCCAGCCUCAAAAGAGCCAGCCAGCGAGAGAGGGAACACAAGCAGGCGGAG